GACAGCAGCAGCCGCGGUAAUACGGAGGGAGCUAGCGUUGUUCGGAAUUACUGGGCGUAAAGCGCACGUAGGCGGUUUAUCAAGUCAGAGGUGAAAGCCCGGGGCUCAACCCCGGAACUGCCUUUGAAACUAGUAGACUUGAAUCUUGGAGAGGUCAGUGGAAUUCCGAGUGUAGAGGUGAAAUUCGUAGAUAUUCGGAAGAACACCAGUGGCGAAGGCGACUGACUGGACAAGUAUUGACGCUGAGGUGCGAAAGCGUGGGGAGCAAACAGGAUUAGAUACCCGCGUAGUCCCUGUCUCUUAUAC
rnacentral:rRNA from 1 species